AAAAAAAUAAGCCAAGCAACCUUUGCCGGUUGCAUUCAACUACAGGGUUUGGAAAGGAUAAACCGACUGAACAGUCAGAAUGUGAACCACUGAAGGGAGACAAGUUGGAGAGGAAGCUGGUACAUUACUCACGAAUGAAUCAGACAUUCCCUCCCUCCUUGUUUGAAAAUGUCCUCCGCAUAAAGCAUGGUACAAUUCCAAACGAGGAACUGUGCUCAGGAUUGAAUUUAUAUGACUGAUCAGUUUCCUUUGCUGUUAUCGAAAGCAGAUAUCAAAUGGCUGUGGAGGAAUGCAGGUGUGGAAGCCUGGGACACUAUGAUGCAUUCAUUUUGGACUUGUUGCAUUUGAGAUUGGAGUUGGUCCAAAGGGAAGUUGUGAGUUCUGGGAGGCAGAAGGGAA